UCAGCUUUUAAAAGGCGGCGUAAGCUGUCGCUAUGGGAUGGCCCCGCGGUGCAUUAGCUAGUUGGUAAGGUAAAGGCUUACCAAGGCGAUGAUGCAUAGCCGAGUUGAGAGACUGAUCGGCCACAUUGGGACUGAGACACGGCCCAAACUCCUACGGGAGGCAGCAGUAGGGAAUCUUCCACAAUGGGCGCAAGUCUGAUGGAGCAACGCCGCGUGAGUGAAGAAGGUUUUCGGAUCGUAAAGCUCUGUUGUUGGUGAAGAAGGAUAGAGGUAGUAACUGGCCUUUAUUUGACGGUAAUCAACCAGAAAGUCACGGCUAACUACGUGCCAGCAGCCGCGGUAAUACGUAGGUGGCAAGCGUUGUCCGGAUUUAUUGGGCGUAAAGCGAGCGCAGGCGGAAGAAUAAGUCUGAUGUGAAAGCCCUCGGCUUAACCGAGGAACUGCAUCGGAAACUGUUUUUCUUGAGUGCAGAAGAGGAGAGUGGAACUCCAUGUGUAGCGGUGGAAUGCGUAGAUAUAUGGAAGUACACCAGUGGCGAAGGCGGCUCUCUGGUCUGCAACUGACGCUGAGGCUCGAAAGCAUGGGUAGCGAACAGGAUUAGAUACCCUGGUAGUCCAUGCCGUAAACGAUGAGUGCUAAGUGUUGGGAGGUUUCCGCCUCUCAGUGCUGCAGCUAACGCAUUAAGCACUCCGC
rnacentral:rRNA from 1 species